GGGGACGGCUCCGUGAGGGGAAGGGCGGCCAGACCCGGCUCGCCCGCCCGGUGCCUGCACUGGGAGUAUCGGAGGGGCCGGGCAGCAGGAGCCAACUCCUGCUCCGUGCCCUGACCUCGGGGCCGGGCCCCCGCUGCCCUCACGGGUGCCUCGGCCGCCACCUUCACGAGUUUCCUUCCCGCCCGGGGUCAGGUCACUGGCCCGCAGCGCUGCCGUGGUGCUGCUCCCAGAAACGUUCCCGCAAAUCCCUCAGUGACCUGUCGACUCCACCAAGCACGAGCUGUGGUUCUGCAAAACUCCUAAGGUGGUGAAAAGUGGCAUUUCCCAAAAGGUGGCAUUUCCCAAAAGCAGCAGUUCUGCCCCGAGGUUCCCCGCUGGGGCCUGUGGAAGCGCUGGGAUGGCAGGCUGGACAUGCCAAGGAUGAGCUGUCACCGUCAUUGCUGACCCCCUUUCACUCAGGGACAGUUCCUCAGCAUUGGUGGAUGGAGGAUUUGGGGACCACCAACAGCCUGAGAGAGGACAGGGCAAGGAGCGAUGGGUAAAGACAAAAGUUGGUUCGGCCACACGCCUUGCAGGGCAGACGUUUUUUCACCAUGCUUUCUCAGUUUCUCAGUGGCAACUAAGCCAAGCUAACAGCUCCCACCAGUGAGGAGCAAAACCCAUCCACAGGCAAGGCACAGCCCAGACAGGGCUGUACCUGAGAGCGUGGUGAGCGGGGCUGCAGGGUGUGUGUGGAGACAGUCUGAGCAGAGCUGACCUAUGGCUGAAUACAAAGGAAAAAAUAAAGCAAAUUGUUACUAAAAAGCAAACCAACAUAAGCGGCUUAAGGCGCAGGAUAGGCACUUACCAUGGUAGGAGGCAACACAACGAUGGUUUGUGCAUUGCAGCUUUAGUAAUCUGGACUCGUGCACGAGCCACAGAGGGUUUUUCCCAUCCACCGAUGCCCAUUUUAACGGUGAAACCAUGCUGACAGACUCACCUCCCAUAUUUAAUAGCUGCAUGUAAUCCACUUACUCUAUCCAGCCCCCUCAUCCCCACACAGGUAGUUUAACCCAUGCUGGCACCUCCACCAACUACUUUAAUUUCCAAACAGACUUCCAAUGACUUUUUUCUAAGCCACACAAGUUCCUUGAACAAUAAAGCAAGACGCAGACACACUCCAAGGGCAGAGUUAAGGUUGCACAAUUAUCACAUGUAGGAAGUGUCAUUUUCCCAUUGCAUCUGCUGUUUUCCAAACAUUUUUUGCUCUUUUAGAUUAUAGCAGUAACGUUUGCUUUGGGAAUCUGUGUGGGAACAGGAGCUCAGCAGUGCUUGUGGGGUCUGGUAAGCACAGAGACCUGGUGUGCAGUUGCUGCCAGAACUUCAUGGCAAUGGUGCUUAAGGGGACAAGAAUACACUGUGUUUGGGGACAAGAUCAGUGGAGAAGAACCUGAGAAGAAGAAGAGAAAGGCAGAAAGCACUGAAAUUUUGACUCAGGAGAUGCUCCUGGUCCAUCUCCUGUUUUCUGCCACAGGUGCUUCUCUUACCUCCACAUUGUUGUGUUAAGCAGAGCAACAACCACCACAGGCACAGAGUAAAAUAUUGUGGAAACACCAAGGAGCUGUGGCCCAUUUUUAGAAAGCAAUUUAUCUCCUCAAAAAAGUUUCAGCGUUGCUGUUUUCAUAGCAAAAGUUGUUUUCUUUCCAAAAACCUACUAUAUCCUUCAUUAUCAACUUCCACUGGAAACCUUCCUUCCUCAGCAAAUGACGCUUUCAAAGUCACAUGUUAAAAACUUGGCAACCCAAGCAGAGCGUGAUUUCAUUCAAUACGUACAUCCAUUGGGAGGUGAGCAUUCCCAGUAUAAUAAACACCCUUGGAGCCACAGUUUGGUGUCUCUUUCUUCAUGGAGGGCUCCUGCAGGAGUAUUGUGGCCAUUGGUGGGCUGAUCCAGUCAAAGGUUUUGGGAUGCUGCAGCACUUCCCUGCUGACCCCUCCAGACACCAACACACCAAGGCAGAAACCACUGGCAGCAGUCAGGGCUAAAAAGACAGUCAAACUAAAUGACAAGUGCCUGGCUGGGGUAUUUCUUUCACACAGUGAGUUAUCCUGCUGCCCUCAAAAUUCACAGGCAGCACAUCCCACUGAGCAUUUGGGGAUUUUUAAUGGAGUUUGGGCUCUCAUGUCCUCACAAGGCAGCCUUGAGCAAGUUAUUUAGCACUUCUCCUUAACUCCAGCAAGCUGGACUGAAAAAGAGUAAAUUUCUAAAUUUCUAGGCUCACACAGGAAUCUACGGCACAAGCUUUCAAACCAAACUUAUUCCAGCUAAAUAUUUUGAACUCCACAGUGAUGUUCAGCUGGUGGUAAAUCCACCUGAAGGAAUUCCUACCCUUGCAUCCAGAAGAUGCCACUUUCUCAUUUAUGCCAAAUGUGUGCUUAUUUGAGAACACUCUCAAGAGGAUCCUGUUAACCCACUUCUUUCCACCUCUCCCCUUCCCUCACCAUGUGUAUUUUUAAUGACAAAAACCUUGUAAAGAGACACUGGUUGCAGAUGCUUCCAGUGCAUGACAGGUAGGGCAGGCAGGCUCAGGGGGCUGGGAGAUAGGGCACAAACCUCUUGGACAAAUCUGGGUGACACAGCCUGUGCUGGGAGCUCUGGAGCUCUGGAGCAAAUGACUUCAGUACACCCUUUUCAUGUCAGCUAUGGAGAUACUGGGAUGAGAUAGAUGGAGCAUCAUUACCCUUCCGCACCAGCUCAACAUCCCCCUCACCCCAACAGCAUCACAGCUAUUUCUGCUUCCCUGUUUCAGCCCUGAAAACAGACAACAGUCCAAACUGACAGUCCAUCAGUCCGUAACAUCCACAGAGCAGCUGGCCAGGGAUGCUCGGAGAUGCACUCCUGAGCUUAGCACCCUAUUAGGAGCCUCUUCAGCGCGGUGAGACCUCCAAAACCUGGAGUGCCAAGAGUGCAGGGGUAAUUCCCCACACCUGGACCACCGACAUAAAAGGAUUUUAAAAUAAACUGGGGUGCUACACCCAGCCAAAGUCAGUAUUUGUGCAUAGGGUUCAAUGCCAAAUGUAAAUAUUAACUUGAGCUUCUCAGCCCCCUUGGUCACUGUGGUAAACACACAUUUUUGUAAUUUUGCAUCAGAUGUGCGUAACUUCUCAGAAGUGACUGCUGCCCUGAACAGCCCAAAGUCUAACCACUAGGAAAUUACUUUUCUGUGGAUUUAGUAGGGAAUUUCUUACAUAGGAGUUGGAAUCAGGCUCAGGACACAGAUCCCUCUAUUAGUUUAGCUGGAGCUAAAAGGAUCAGAAGUGAUGCUGCUGCUCUGUGGGUCAGGGAAGUUGAGUAUCCAUCACACAAUUAGCACCUUUUAGUAGAAGUGGGUAGAAAGGGAAAUUAGCAAUUGAGGGUAGAAAUGGUGAACCAGCUACACAGGAGCACCUUAAUAGCCAGCAUUCAUUCUGCCCAUGUCCUCCUGAAGAGGAUUAAAUGUGUUUAGCCUCCCCAGGUUUCCAGGAUGAGGAGAAGCUACCCAGGGGUGGAAGAAAAAGAGGCUGUGUGAAAGCUGUCAGACUUCACACAAAGCAGCAUAAUGUUUGCCAUACAUACGAGCAUCCUUGGCAAGGAAGGCAGGAGCCUGUGCUCAGAAGCCUGGAAGUCUUCACCACAAAAUAAAACACCAAACCAGAAAGCCCAGGGGCACUGGUGGCCAACAAACUGCACCCUCUCUUGCUUUCAAAGCACAGCGUUAACUGCCGUCGGCUUCGGAUGCCAAUGUCAGGGAGAAGUCAAGAGGAAACUACUCUUGGAAGUCUCACUUAGCACUUGACAACAUCUUUGAAUAUGUGGCCCAGGCUGAGUUCAUAAGCUUUUGGGGAAAAGCGUUGUGCUAGGGAUUGUGUAAACACAGAGCUGGCUGAUGGAUGGCCCUGGUGCACCACGGAGAUUUAUGCACGCUCCAGAAAAACGUCCUGAAUUAACAAGCAUCUUGGACUAAUACAGGGACACUCAGAGACUUCACUGAUAAUUGUGGGAGAGAAACAAAUGAUAAGGAAAAGUUAUCACACAGUGUUCCAUUUUCCAGACUUCAGUAAAGAGUUGGAUGCAGGGUCAGAUGGGAUAUUUUUAGCUGUGCUGGGAGCACAAGCGUAGCAAAGUGGGCAAGGGAUUGAGCAAGGAGGAGCUGGAGAGAAGAUCAUUGGUAGAGGCCCUCAUAAAACCACCUUGGGAUGAGCAUUACUUGAUAUUUUCUUUAGUGACCCCAUUAGGAAAAGGAAGGAUUGUGCUUAUAACCUGAAAAUGAGAAGCACAGUGGAAGAAGAGAAUAACUUUGAGAGAGCAAAAUGGAAAUGGGAUGAAAUACGGUGUUACCGACUUUGACAGCUGGGUGCUUGUAAUCAAACCUUCUCACUUCAAGCAGAAGCUCAUUGGUGUGGCACCCAGGAGGGACAAGAGCUCUCUCAGAGGUGUUUUUGUGCCACUGGUGUGACUUACCUCCUGAAAAGGCCAAUGUCAAGCAGGGGUUAUCAGAAGUACCAAUGAAUAGAGACAGGGAAGCAUUUAAUGCCACUGAACAGUGCACAGGCAAGACCUUGUUGGAAUUCUCCAGACAGUUCUCCAGAUGAAAAAAAAAUGCAUUCAAGCGUGGAGAAGAGUUUCUAGGAUGGUAAGAGGGACAAAAAGCCUAUUUUAUGAGAGGAAUCUCUACAAACUCAACUUGCUCAGCCUAAGGAAACAGAGGCUGAGAGGAGAUAUGACCACUCUAAAAUACACUGGGGAAGGAGGCAGCGCAUUGCAGCAACAAAAGAGCCAGCAGACAAGAAUGAAGAGCACAACUGAUCCAUGCUGGACAUGUGGGCUGGAAACUAGACAUCUGUUUCUAACCUUCAGAGGAACAAGGAACAGAAACAGCUUUGCAGUGGGAGGAGCAAAGGCACUCAAUGUAAAGAUGGACUUUGAUCACUUACAGAAGGAGUCAGCGGAGCAGCUCACAUAGUCCCUCCUGCCCCUGUGAUCCCACUGAGGUCAGAUCCCACUGCUGUCACCAGAGUCCUGAUUUUCCUUCCUCACCCACCCACACCAAAUAAUCUCAUCUGACUCAUUCCCAGCCAACAGAUUUCAGUAGAUGUUCUCUCAAGGGAAGGGGAGAGGUACAGAGAGAAGAAAACUCUUCAUCCAGCUCUUGUGCCUAGAAAUGGAUUUCUCAAACACCCAGGGAUUUCCGAUUUGCUUCUAAAUUUGGUAUGUGGUUUUUUUUCCUCCCAGAAAACUUAAAACUUCCUGUAUUCAGCAAAAUAAGGGUAUUUUUAAAGUUUUCCUUUUUUUUUUUCCUUUUAAUCUAUUUUUAGAUAGUGUUUCAUGGUUUCUUUGGAAAAAAGUUUUAGAACUGAAUUAGCAAGUGAUCAAAUGCCGACUAUCAGGAACUUCAAACAGCGAGCCAAAACCUUUCUAUCAGAAACAGCCCGCCGAAGAGCAACGUAGGAGAAAAAGGAUCUGAAAGAUGAGGAGCAAUAUGCAAGCAACAGCCAGUGCCAAGAAUCUCCAGGGUCUGUAAACCCUUAAAAUGCCAGACAGACUGGAGUAAAAAACAGCCUGAAAGGUAGAGAGGCAUAAAACACUCAGCGUGCAACAGCGUUGAAUGUAAAACUGGCUGAGUAGAAAAGAAAGCCAACAAAAACUAGAGGCUGUAGCUAAGCAUCCUGCACGCUGUACUCUGCAGAUAGCAAAGGCUGCACGAUUUAAAUCUGUAAUCCCUUCCCAAGCAAAGAGGCUUUUGCAACAGCGCAAUCUGGAUGUCACCAGCAUAUGAAUAGGCAUCUUGGGACUGCUCUGGAGAGCAGAGGUCAAAGUUUAGUGAUGUAUGUACUUGUCUCCCUAAUGGGUCUUAUUGAUUAUUAUCCAUAGAAACAAGCACUGUCUCCAAAUCUGCCUCCCCCUUUGGGCUAGAUGCUGGCAACCAGGAAAAAGCACCUUGAUCUUCUAGGUCCAUGCUGUUUGUAGAGUGUUGAAGCCUGCGAUGAGGAAAGACACAAAGCUGCUGAACAGACCAGUGAAACACAGCAAGUGGAAGAUGGUCAAUAGAUCUGUGUAACAUCUGCAUAGCAAUGAUGCAUGGGAGCACAGUGUCAAAAAAUAACACCUAAUAAAAUAUUUAGAAAAAAAGUAGGGUGACAUGAACGGGGGGGAGGAGAAAAUCAACAUUGCAAUUCAAUCACCUAAGUGAAUUAUGUGUUGUGGAAGGGGCUAAAAAGCCCCAGCACAGAUAAAGCCAAAUCCACACUUGUCCAACCACAGGUAUUCCAGACAGGUAUCUUAAAUAUUACAGUGAAAUUGUUCUAUCUGUGAUACAAAAUGGUGGUAACCAGCUGGCAUCUUCACAGCACAAACACAAUUUUGUUGUGGCGACUUCAACAGCAGAGGAAAAUAUUUAAAAAAGCACCGGAAGCACAGGACCAAAAGUACCAAUGCUGGUUUGCCCUAUCACAGUGAGCACUGCUGUGGCAGCCAGCCAGCACGGUGGUGUGAGCAAAGCCAGCUCAGGUAGGGCACUGGGAACACCCUUGGGUGGAGACUAAGCUGAUAAAUAAGCAAGGGUAAGAGUGAUUAUCAGAUCUCCUCAAACUUCCCGAGUUUGCAAGGUAGAGCCAGAGAAAGCAGGCUCACUCGAGACUUUGGUACUCCCACUUCUGCCUGCUUCUUGAAACUGGGGAAAAAAACCCAACCCUCAGCCCUGUCUACAAUAUUUCAUAAUCUCAGAAGACAUCCCUUUUGGGUUUAGGUCUAGAAACAGGCUCAGGCAGCAGGGAGGUCCUGUCUCUCUCUGGAGAUGUGUGUCCACCUCUGUAUGUAGACACAAGGCCACUAAGGCUGGUCCCACUGACGAGCUGCCUGAGGUCUGUCUGCCUGCUCUGCCCAUCCUCAUCCUCACCCACCCCACAGUUUGCAGGCUGAAAAGGGGCAGAGGAGGUUGGCAGCAACACUGGGCUCCCCUGGGCAGCAACAGCCCCUUCCCCCUGGUGCCAAAUGCCAUUUUCUGGGCUGUUCCUCGCACACCCACCCUGGCACAUGGAAAUAUGGCAUGUGGAAGAGCCUCCCCACAAGAGCUCUGUGCACACACUCCUUCAGCCUCGUAGAGGGUUCUCCCUGCAGGGCAGGGAUGAAGAAAGCCUUGCUGUCCAAUAGAGGACCGUGUAGGUGACUCCUGCUCCUGGCUCUGUGGGAUGUGCAGCUUGCUUGCACAGGUUAUAUAAACCUAGUUAUCUACCUGCAUGUCCUCACGUUAAAAAAAAUGGCUCUGCACACCUGAAGAAGAGGAAAAGCUUGUGAGUAUAAAGCACUGACUGCGUCAUUGAUAUUGAGGCCACAGCACAAACCAGAUCAGCACUGACUGCGUUUACUCCAGUGGAACUGUAACAACAUGAUCCCAGCCCCUGCCAGGAAUGUUGUUGUUCAAUACACAUCUAAGUCACAGAGCAGCAACAAGCCUGCUGCACACUCAAUUUUCUUCCAGGUACAGCAAAUCUGGCUCGCUCUGGGGGACGUGAAGGGACCAGCUCCAGGCAGUCAGAGAUGCUGUGCUCUGUGCAGCUGGCGUUAGGAUCACUGGCAUCUGGUGGGAGUGCAGCUACUCAAGACUCACCAAAACAACAACAACAACAACAACAGAAAAGCCUCUUUUCUCGUAGAGCACAGCCGAAUUCCCUUCCUCUCAUUCCCUUAACAGAUGUCAGAAAAAAGCAUGAAUGGCUGCAGCUCUGUGCUCGACUCGCAGCUUUCACACUUGCUGCAGAGCUGGCCUUCUGCUUCUGAACCCAGUUCUGGAAGGUGUUGCUUUUUCAAAAGAAAAAUUGAGAGAAAGGAAAAAAAAAACACCUUAAACACUUAAUAGUAAACUCCUUCAAAAGAAAACUUGCUUCAAGCCAAAAAACAUUUGCCAAGUUUCAACUAAAUGUGAAUUUUCUAACUAAAUGACGCUGUAAUAAACACCUCAAUGUGGGGGUUUCAAAAUGAGAAUGCCAAGACAACUUUGCUUCAAGCAGUUCAAAAAUAUAUAUAUAUAUUAUAUAUAACUCUUUUUUUAAAGAAAAAUCAAACUACCCCACAGAGACAUUUUAUGGUGCUUCAGUUAUAUAUACAUAUUAAAUAAAACAAACAAAAAAACCCUAAGCAAAUCAAAUACAGAGAAAGCAAAAUGAAAAGCCAUAGAUUCACGUGUUGCCCAUCAUUCCAGUCAUGCAGGAGGAUGUAGGCAGGAGCAGGACUCUCCCCAGAACCAGAUCAUAGGUCUGGAUGCUAUUGCAGCAGAUUAACCUGGGACCACUACAGGAAGGAAGCAUUUCCAGGUGAGAGAAGGGGUCUACAUCAGAAAUGCUGUUGCAGAACCUACCCGGCCAUUUCACCUCAUCUGGACUCCAACGAGGGUUCCCAGGGACUCUGAAUCCAAGUCCAGUGCCUCCUUCCCUGAGUGCUGCACCAAGUGGUGCCUGCUGUGGCUGUAGGUGUGAGGGGCUCCAGGAAGGCUCUCCAGCAGUGGAUAGUGAUGGUGUGAGCCACUAAACAUUCCUAGGACAGGAAGAGCCUGAAUUCCUGACUGCUCAGAUGUUGAAUGGCUUUUCCUGUGCUUAGGCUGGUGCCCAAGGUGGGAUCCUGAGAAAGCAGAGCUCUGGGUGCAAAGCGUGAGCACAUCGAUCUCUUCUCAGGGCCAAGUCUGGCUGCCUGGUUUGCAGACAGCUGCUGAUUUGUUUUGGAAUGUACAAAGAUGCCCUUAAAUCCAAUUUAGGCAUUAAGGGGAAAAUAAACUCAUGAGUGCCGUAUGGUGGCUCUGCAGCCCCAAAGGCACCUACAGCUCCUGAGGGGACAGAGGUGCUGCCAUGACUGGUCCAAAACCAGCGUGGUGGUGCUGCAAACCACAGCAUCCCUGCAGAGAUGAGCAGUGGGACCCUGCUGCCAGGGGAACCAAAGACCUUAGGCUGGUUUUAAUUCUGGCCAGCUCCCUCAUGCUGUCACACAUAGGACAGAUUGGGAAAGCUGCAGCAAGAGAACAACCCGUGUUUCUGCAGGGAAGGACUGCAGCCAUGAGUUAGCUGGACUUGUCCAAAUAAAGGGGGGAAAAAGCUACUUAUGUUGUUUCCCCAACCUCAGAGCAAUAUGCUUUCCUAGGAUCAAUUCAUAACAGGUUGUUGUGUUCAGAGCUAAAAUUAAUCUUACAUCAGGAGAAUGAAUUAAAACAAUGAAGAGCUUCCUGCAUCCAUUGCUAAAAAAAUUAAUCGUCUGAGAGCUUCCUUUUCUACUUUCCAACUGGCCACCUUGCUUUCAUUCAAGGAAAGCCUGAGUAAAAAAAUGAAAAACUGUUUCCAGGUGGUUUUGGUUAAAGCAAACAAAGAGCUUGAAUUGUGUCAGAGCCUGGUUUCAGGCAGAAGGUGCAGGGUUAGCCAGAAAGAGUGAACCACCACUGCUGAGAUACAGCCACUGGCCUAAUUAGGUGGAAUAGCUAUUAGUGAUUCCACCUAAUUAGAUAAUUAGAUUAAUUAUCUAAUUAACUGAGAUUGUUGUUAGACAAAGGCAGGUAGAGCUUCAGAGGUGAUAAGGAAGACAUCAGGGCAAGGUUACUCUGAUUUAUAUUGAUUUUUUUUAACAGUUCAAGAACUCCCCUGGUUCCCACAUUUAUUUACCCAAGUCUCGCUCCUCUGGGGUUGUUUUAAAGUGAUUAAAGCAGGGAAGGGGGGGGCUGUUCUUUUAAAAACAGAGAGGGGGAAAAAAAAAAGGAAAUUUCACUGCAGGGAUUCAGUGGAGGGGAGAAACCAGACCGGGCAGGGGAAUGUGUCAUGGAUGAGAACUGCCUCUGCCCCCCCUCCACUUCUCGUGCUUGGAUUUUGCAGCGCAUCCUCCCCGCAGACCUCUUUGGCUACGCAGCGUGUUUGUCUUUGGGGAGAGAGACAACAUGUGAGCUAAUGAUGCACCAACACCGAGCGGGAGCUGUGGUGCUGGCAGAUUUUUCUCCAUCGCUUGCUCUUUGCUGGCAGUGCUGGUGGGAACCACAAGCCAAUUAAGGAGGCCUCGUUGCGGUAGACGUGGCGUAAAAGUAGCAUUAGAGCAUCCUGCCCCAGAGACCCGUCAGCCCUGAAUACCCGAGGGCGAGCGUGAGGCAGGUUUGCAAGUUUAAUAAGCCAAGUCCUCCUCGCUCAGGCGUGAAGAUAAUAUUAUGCCAGGCAGGCCCCGGGUGGAGGAGGCAGAGCUGGAGCCUGUGGCUUCCACGAUUCCAGCCACCUGCUUUGAAUUGCACCGCGACGGAGUCAGGCCCACAGCUGAGCCCAAGUUUUAGGAGGCACAGGAGGGCACGCAACCCAGUCGACCCUGUCCUUCCCGUCCUACAGCUAUUGUUAGAUGCAUCAAGGAAUUUGACCCACUUUGGGAGUUUCUGGUGGUUUUUCACAUUCCAUUUGUCCUUUCUGACUAACAUUUUGCACUCGUGUGUCACAGCCCUGGCUCUGCUCCCUGUGGUGGAUGCUCAGAUUGCUGGAAAAAGAUCCAGCUGCUAUAUCCCACUGUGUUUAGAGUUUCUGAGCUCUGAGUGGAUCCAAGACACCACCCACACUGGGUUUUGAGGCAUCCUCUCCACAUGCCAGCUCCACCUAGCAUCCUCCUUUCUCACCAAGCUUACGUCCUCCAGCUGGCUAUUUGAAUUCAGACCUUAAAGACUUUGCAUACUUCCUCACACCAAAAAACACAAGCUUUGCAGACUAGGACAGAAUUUUUGCAGAGGCCAAUAACAAGUGCAGCCCCAGGUGGGCUUUUCUCUGAGUUUUGGAGCUUGGCUGGUCUCUGCUCACACUGCAGAGCACAACAGCAUUUAGUGAUCUGGUGAGUAGUGUGUCCUCAGCACAGGGCCAGCUCUUGGGCUCACCUCCCUGUAGGAAUCCUCACAAAUCAGCCAGAUGGCAGAAGGAAAUGGUUUACACACCUUGUCAAGAGCUCAGAGGUGACUAACGGUUUAUCUUCUCUAGCUUUGGUUGAUCCCACAGCUAAACCAGCCCCUUCCCACUAUAAAUGCCUCACCAUCUCUUCCUCUGUCUUCUGCACACCCCUGAGGUUUCUCUUUCAUACACCCUCAAAUCGCUUGACUUCUUCAUUCAGCCUUAAUACCUGUGUAUAAUAAUAGCUUAAUAACUUUAUAAUAGCUUCAGCCUGUCUCCUGAGAGGUACAGAAAUAAACCUGUCUUCCCUAGUUGCACAGACUACGUUAACAGAUCCAUUACUGGUCACAUCACAAUCAUCAGAAUUCUCAGCUCCCAUUGCCUCUGCUCCAGUGUGUGUCCCUUGGCAUCCUUUUCAGCAAGAUGCUCCACCCAGGCCACAGCAGCAUCCCAUGGAAGAGCUGCAGAGUAUAAAUGCCAUGCCAAUGCCUCGGGUACUGCAUGAGGCUGGGCAGCCUGUGCCCUGCCAGGUGUGGAGUGUUGGGCUCCCACUCUCCCUUCCUGCACCCUGCAAGCCCCAGAGGCCACGGCCACUGUCUCGGGCAGAACUUGCUCUUUCCUAACAAAACACUCAGGUCUCCACGGGAGCUAAAGGGUUGCAAGUACAGACCAGCCACUCGCUGGGAGCCGCCGGCCAUCUGGAAUUACAAGACUGAAGUGAACUGCAAGAGACCACAGUGAACAUGUGCAUGAAACUAUCUGAGGCUGCAAAACAAAGGCACUUGCUGGAAAUUAUUAAAACAGCACAAAAACAUGGAACUCGCCCAAAAUGGAAGGUACAUUGGAAGGGGUAAGAAAUAUCAUAUUGCAAUUAAUGCUGUAUAGGACAUGACAGCGAGACAGAGCCUACCUAUGAAAGAACAUUCCAAUACCAGAGCAAACCCUGUGGCCAAGCCUGGACACUGUGCUGGGGGACAUCCAUCCCAGGUGACAGGAUGCAGCAGCAGCCCCGACAGGGCGAGAUAAAGCAGUAGCCUGCAAAUAAACUGAAAUCAGUCACUCAA